UGCCAUCUCGGCAGCAUUCUUCAUGCCUUUUGCCUCUAUGCUCCGCCGCAUCGUAAUCGGCUCUCUUUUAAGCCUAAAAGAUGCGACACCCGCUUCUUGUUGCUGCUCCCAUGCCCACACGUCUUUAUUGCUACCUUGUGCCAAUGUGAACACGUCACUCUCUUAUCGCUUGCGUCUGGUGACGGCGAAACUAACCCUGGCCCUCCCAAGACUACUCGAUCUAACUCUACUACAUCAUCAGUGAAGGAAGCUGUUGGGACCCUCCCGAAGUGUUCGCUUGGCCCACCGCAAUGCAGCCGCCUCCGGGUCCUCCUGGGACGCAGUGGACUCGUCGUCGUCAUCUUCUCCCCCGCUCCACUCAGCCUCUCCCUCGCCUGAGGCUGUGCCUUCGAAGUUGAGGACCGGAGACCUGCAGCAGCGCUCCAACAUGAAGAUACGUCAGUCAACUUUAACUCCUGGAACGAUAUAUCUGUGUUCGAAGAUGCGUCGCACGAUAACACCAUUGUCGCCAACAGAAGUCGUAACACAACAUUUGGGUCAACAACCGGAAAACGGGUGGACCCCCGAAUUUACCGCAAAAGAAAGGUGGCAUCUGUUACGAAAUGAACGUGCUCCGUGCCGAUACACCGCGUUUGUUGACGUGCAGACGCAGGCAGAGAGGAGCGACUCGUUUCGAAA